UACAGAGGUCUCAAGCGUUGUUCGGAUUCAUUGGGCGUAAAGGGUGCGUAGGCGGCGCGGUAAGUCGGGUGUGAAAUCUCGGAGCUUAACUCCGAAACUGCAUUCGAUACUGCCGUGCUUGAGGACUGGAGAGGAGACUGGAAUUUACGGUGUAGCGGUGAAAUGCGUAGAUAUCGUAAGGAACACCGGUGGCGAAGGCGGCUUCCUGGACCGACACUGACGCUGAGGCGCGAAAGCUAGGGGAGCAAACGGG
rnacentral:rRNA from 1 species